CGCCACCCUCCGCGUUUUUGUGACAACCGUCACUUCUGCCAAGCUAUAGAGCCGUUAAGGGAGCCCUUCUUGCCUCUUUGUUGCAUACACGAAAGGAGAGACAUGCCCAAAGACAGCAAAGCGCCGCCGUCGCCAUCACACGAGGAGCUACGCGUCCGCGCCUUAGAAGGGGAACACUUGAAGUUGUUGCAGCAACUCAUCAUGACUGCGUUACGGUGGACUCGUCAAAAGAGGGAAAUGCUCCAGGCGCUUGUCGAAUCCCUGGAAAAUCUGGAAUAGUCGCAUAUAGUGUGACUCCUCUCACUUUUUUUUUUUUUUUUCAAAUGUAAUAAACCUCCUUCUCCUGAAAUGAAUGCCCUCUUUCUUUCUUGACUAUCGCGCGCUGGAUUUUCGGCACUAAAAAGUGUGUUUUACAAGCGCCGUAAACAACCACCGAUAACAGCGUUUUUCGACAUCACACCGGCAGAAUAGAGGCCUUGUAUGUUUGCGA